UCCCCAGUUCAUCCCUCAAUAUGGGGUUCCCUGCUCAUCUCCUGGGGCUGAUAAUGCUCUGGGUUGUAGGAUCCCGUGGGGAUAUUGUGAUGACCCAGACUCCACUCUCCUUGCCCGUCAUCCUUGGAGAAUCAGUCUCAAUCUCUUGCAGGUCUAGCCGGAGCCUCCUAAGCAGUGAUGGAAACACAUAUUUAAACUGGUUGCUGCAGAAGCCUGGCCAGGCACCAAGGCUGUUAAUAUAUAUGGUUUCCAAUCGGUUUUCUGACGUCCCAGACAGGUUCAGUGGCAGUGGGUCAGGGACAGAUUUCACACUCAAAAUCAGCAGAGUAGAGGCUGAGGAUGCUGGAGUUUAUUACUGUCUGCAAGUUAUACAAUAUCCUCCCACAGUGAUACAACCCCAAACACAAACCUCCCUGCUUGGAGUGGCCCAGCUGCCUUCAGGGGCUCUCUGUCUGGGGAACAGCACAACAGAUUCUGAGUCUGCAUAA